rnacentral:rRNA from 2 species
GAAUGCUGACAUAAGUAACGAUAAAGCGGGUGAAAAGCCCGCUCGCCGGAAGACCAAGGGUUCCUGUCCAACGUUAAUCGGGGCAGGGUGAGUCGACCCCUAAGGCGAGGCCGAAAGGCGUAGUCGAUGGGAAACAGGUUAAUAUUCCUGUACUUGGUGUUACUGCGAAGGGGGGACGGAGAAGGCUAUGUUGGCCGGGCGACGGUUGUCCCGGUUUAAGCGUGUAGGCUGGUUUUCCAGGCAAAUCCGGAAAAUCAAGGCUGAGGCGUGAUGACGAGGCACUACGGUGCUGAAGCGACAAAUGCCCUGCUUCCAGGAAAAGCCUCUAAGCAUCAGGUAACAUCAAAUCGUACCCCAAACCGACACAGGUGGUCAGGUAGAGAAUACCAAGGCGCUUGAGAGAACUCGGGUGAAGGAACUAGGCAAAAUGGUGCCGUAACUUCGGGAGAAGGCACGCUGAUAUGUAGGUGAAGCGACUUGCUCGUGGAGCUGAAAUCAGUCGAAGAUACCAGCUGGCUGCAACUGUUUAUUAAAAACACAGCA